rnacentral:lncRNA from 1 species
UUGAGAAGCUCGGCUGUACUUCACUCAGCUGAAGUGGCACACCAAACUCACUGUACUAAGAAGGAAGUUGUAGCAAAGGAUUUAUUGUGCAACUGAGAUGCAGAUGAUAGCAAUUCCAUUCUCUUCUGCAUUUUAGAUAUCCUACUCGAUUGCACAAGCACCUCUAUCCCUGAAACAAAGAGAUCCCAUCUUUAAAAUGAUAACACCAGCUCACAGCAGUGUUGUAAAAUAAAUAUAAACAGUCUAACUGCCAAAACUGUGACUCAAUAACAGUACUUUAUGUGUAUUCACAAGCUGACCUUCUAUAGUCAUCCUCCCAACAGAUUCUGUUUCAGCCUUCAAAUUUCUUCCUCUUCUUCUUUCUUCUUCUUCCUUCUUCUUCCUUCUUCUUCUUCUUUCUUCUUCUUCCUUCUUCUUCUUCUUCUUUCUUCUUCUUCCUUCUUCCUUCUUCUUCUUCCUUCUUAUUCUUCCUUCUUCUUCUUUCUUCUUCUUCCUUCUUCUUCUUCCUUCUUCCUUCUUCUUCCUUCUUCUCCUUCCUUCUUCUUCCUUCUUCUCCUUCCUUCUUCUUCCUUCUUUGUCCUUCUUCCUUCUUUCUUCUUCUUCUUUUUUCUUCUUCUUUCUUCUUCUUCCUUCUUCCUUCUUCCUUCUUCCUUCUUCCUUCUUCCUUCUUCCUUCUUCUUCUUCCUUCUUCUCCUUCCUUCUUCUUCUUCCUUCUUCUCCUUCCUUCUUCUUCCUUCUUUCUUCUUCCUUCUUUCUUCUUCUUCCUUCUUCUUUCUUCUUCUUCCUUCUUCUUCCUUCUUCCUUCUUCUUCCUUCUUCUCCUUCUUCCUUCUUCUCCUUCUCCUUCUUCCUUCUUCUUCUUCUUCUUUCUUCUUCUUCCUUCUUUCUUCUUCUUCCUUCUUUCUUCUUCUUCCUUCUUCUUCUUUCUUCUUCUUUUUUUUUCUUCUUCUUUUUCUUUCUUCUUCUUCUUCUUCCUUCUCCUUCUCCUUUCUUCUUCUUCUCCUUCUCCUUUCUUGCUUUGGAUGCCUGCAGGUGGUAAAGCUUCCUGGAGGUGCAAGAUCCCACAUCUUGCUGUUCAGGCUAAACUCUCUUAGGACACCUGGG